AGAUUACGCAGUUGAAACAAAUACGUAAAGGACUUAAAGAAACCAGAGUGUGGCCACUGUUGAUUGAAAGGAAAGAUGUGGAAAUCUUUCUGAGGGAAAAUGAAAAUUCACUCACCCCAUCGAUGCUGCUUCAAUGUAUCUGCUGGCCCUCGUAUAUCAGUGAGAAUGAUGACGACAACGACGACGAAGAUUGUUCCCUAGAAGAUAGACGUCGCAUCUCGUGGUAUUUGCGUCACUUCAUUGAGACGGCAUCCAGCUCAGACCUUAAAAACUUGGUGAAGUUUUGGCUUGGGUGGGAAGUGCCAGAAGGAAAUAUGGUAGUGGAAGUGGUUAACUCUAAGAUGCCGAAGUCCUCCACUUGUUUCAAUGUGCUACGCCUCCCUGCCCACUACAUGGAUUACAGCAAUUUUAAGGAUGAUCUCCUUAUGUGCAUUGGCACUUCAGAAUAUGGUUUUGGCCUUGUUUAGAUCUGUGAAAUCCCAAACCGCAAUGGUAACACCAUAUCUAUAAAUUAGAUAAAUUAUCAAAGUUUGUCCUGUUUUUUGGACAU